GAUGAACGCUAGCUACAGGCUUAACACAUGCAAGUCGGGGACUGGCGCACGGGCGAGUAACACGUAUCCAACCCGCCCUUUACUCGGGGGUAGCCUUUCGAAAGAAAGAUUAAUACCAGAUGUAAAGGAUGGGGAUGCGGUACAUUAGGUUGUUGGUGAGGUAACGGCUCGCCAAGCCUUCGAUGGAUAGGGGUUCUGAGAGGACGCGCCCCCACAUGUGAACGAGGGCACGAUCCCAACUCCGACUGGAAGCAGCAGUUAGGAAUAUUGGUAAAUGUGCCUUAGCCUGAACCAGCCAAGUAGCGUGAAGGAUGAAUGCGUAUGGGUCGUAAACUUUUUUUAUAUAAGAAUAUGUAUUAUAUGAAUAAGGAUCGGCUAACUCCGUGCCAGCCGCCGCGGUAAUAC
rnacentral:rRNA from 1 species